rnacentral:rRNA from 1 species
AUUGAACGCUGGCGGCAUGCCUUACACAUGCAAGUCGAACGGCAGCACGGACUUCGGUCUGGUGGCGAGUGGCGAACGGGUGAGUAAUAUAUCGGAACAUACCUUGUAGUGGGGGAUAACUAUCCGAAAGGAUAGCUAAUACCGCAUACGCUCUAAGGAGGAAAGCGGGGGAUCGUAAGACUUCGUGCUAUAAGAGUGGCCGAUAUCUGAUUAGCUAGUUGGUGAGGUAAAGGCUCACCAAGGCGACGAUCAGUAGCUGGUCUGAGAGGACGACCAGCCACACUGGAACUGAGACACGGUCCAGACUCCUACGGGAGGCAGCAGUGGGGAAUUUUGGACGAUGGGGGCAACCCUGAUCCAGCAAUGCCGCGUGAGUGAAGAAGGCCUUCGGGUUGUAAAUCUCUUUUGUCAGGGAAGAAACGGUUGUGGCUAAUAUCCAUGGCUAAUGACGGUACCUGAAGAAUAAGCACCGGCUAACUACGUGCCAGCCGCCGCGGUAACAC